GUUAGGUGGCCGCAGCGCUUACGUGGCGCCGUUAGGAUUCGGCACGUGGAAUUCCGUUAACCCGUGGGUCAAGUUCAAGGAAUUAAAGAUAAAUUAAAAGAUGAACAAAAGGAGACACAUGCAGUGGCAUAAUGGGCAAGAUUUGACUGACAGUGCCCUGCAAGAAUAUGCUGAGGCCCAGAAAGCAAGACAGUUGAAGUUUACUGGUAUUACAAAGACUGGUAUCAUGAAUAUUGUGAACUCAAUCCCAGAGAACAGCAAGCAGAGAAAUAGGCAGGAAAUUCCAGGGUCGCAUAUCUUCUAUCUGUGAAACAACACUUGAAGAUGCAAGCAAGAAAACUGAAGUUACACUGAAGACAAAAGGAAUAUAAAGUCGGGAACGGACUACCUGAAAAAGGGUGCCAACAAUUUCAUGAGAAACGUUGAAAAUGGAUUUGAAUAAAAAAUGUGAAGGAGAAAAACCAGCACCUUGACUAUAACGAUAUUCUGCCCGACCAAGAUCACACUCCAAUCCUCUAGUAUUCCUUGACUUCCCUGCACUUCUGCUGUUCCAGGCUCGACCUUCAAUUUAUGAAACUUUGGCAUGUGCAGGACACAACAUUCAGAAAACAGCUACGUCGAAAUGUAAACAUUCCAUGGGAAACAUUUCAGAAAACCUUAGAAAAAGUAUAAAAGUACAAUAA